rnacentral:rRNA from 1 species
GACGAACGCUGGCGGCGUGCCUAAUACAUGCAAGUCGAACGCAGUGGGGACGGGUGAGUAACACGUGGGUAACCUCCCAUCAGAGGGGAUAACACUUGGAAACAGGUGCUAAACCGAUACUGAUGGAUGGACCCGCGGUGCAUUAGCUAGUUGGUGAGGUAAAGGCCUACCAAGGCGACGAUCCGUAACUGGCCUGAGAGGAUGAUCAGCCACACUGGAACGGAGACACGGUCCAGACUCCGACGGGAGGCAGCAGUGGGGAAUAUUGGACAAUGGGCGAAAGCCUGAUCCAGCCAUGCCGCGUGUGUGAAGAAGGUCUUCGGAUUGUAAAGCACUUUGAGUUGAGAGGCGUUACCUAAAGAGUAAGCACCGGCUAACUUCGUGCCAGCAGCCGCGGUAAUAC